CGAACGACUUCAUUGACAUAUUUGCUCUUUUUUUCAAGCCGAGUUGGAGUAAAAAACCACCAUUUCCUUAAAAAGAAUCACUAUUAAAUUCAUUAGCAAUUGAUGAACCGAAUGAAAGAAAAUAAAUGAGUGUUGUCUGAUGAUUGACUUGAAUGACUUCAUCCCCGGCGUGGAUCUUCUUACAGCGGUCGGCCGGAGACUAUAGAAGCCCAGAAGAAAAUGCAGGAAAACAAAACCGCCUUCGGCGGCUUUGACAUUGUUGAGGUGCACGAGCUCCAGGUGGGCCGACUGGGACACCAGCGGGUCAGACGACACGCACACGAUAUGCUCGCACACCUCGGACAGAGUCUUACACUGAAGUGGACCAAAAAAG